GUGCCAGCCGCCGCGGUAACACGUAGGAGACGAGCGUUAUCCGGAUUUACUGGGUGUAAAGCGCGUGCAGGCGGAACGGCAAGUUGGAUGUGAAAGCUCCUGGCUUAACUGGGAGAGGUCGUACAAGACUGCCGAUCUAGAGGACAGCAGAGGGGAGUGGAAUUCCGAGUGUAGCGGUAAAAUGCAUAGAUAUUCGGAAGAACACCAGUGGCGAAAGCGGCUCUCUGGGCUGUAACUGACGCUCAGACGCGAAAGCUAGGGUAGCAAACGGGAUUAGAUACCCCCGUAGUCC
rnacentral:rRNA from 1 species